GCAGAAAAUAGUGAAAAUAAUUAACUAAAAAUAAGAAACAUACAUACAAUCGCAGGCAAUAAAAUCGUGCAGUAACUACCAUAACUAACAGCCACAUGAGGGCACACGCUAACACACAAAUCGUCUAUGAGAAAACCUACUGACGUGCGAAGGACUCUAGUAGCCCCUAACCUACAACCCAGAUUCUGGACCUCCAGACGCUCCUAUCAAGGGUCAUGUCCUCGGAAACUUGCAUCCUAAUCAUGUCCUGCCUAAUCACCUCUGCCCAAUACUUCUUAGGCCUCCCUCUACCUUGCUGACCGCCAACAAUCUCCAGCCUCUCGCAGCUCCUUACCGGGGCAUCCGGGCCCCUCCUCCGAA
rnacentral:lncRNA from 1 species